AUUGACCUCGGAUCAGGUAGGGAUACCCGCUGAACUUAAGCAUAUCAAUAAGCGGAGGAAAAGAAACCAACAGGGAUUGCCUCAGUAACGGCGAGUGAAGCGGCAACAGCUCAAAUUUGAAAUCUGGCUCCUUCGGGGUCCGAAUUGUAAUUUGUAGAGAGUGCUUCGGGCGAGACCUCGGUCUAAGUCCAUUGGAACAUGGUGUCAUAGAGGGUGAGAAUCCCGUAUGCGACCGUGGCUCGAGCCCAUGUGAAGCCUCUUCGACGAGUCGAGUUGUUUGGGAAUGCAGCUCAAAACGGGUGGUAAAUUUCAUCUAAAGCUAAAUACUGGCUGGAGACCGAUAGCGCACAAGUAGAGUGAUCGAAAGAUGAAAAGCACUUUGGAAAGAGAGUCAAACAGUACGUGAAAUUGUUGAAA
rnacentral:rRNA from 1 species